GAUGAACGCUAGCGGCAGGCCUAAUACAUGCAAGUCGGACGGGAUUCAGGAGCUUGCUUCUGGUGAGAGUGGCGCACGGGUGCGUAACACGUAUGUAACCUACCUUUAUCAGGGGGAUAGCCUCUCGAAAGAGAGAUUAAGCCCGCAUAAAAUCACAGCACAGCAUUGUGUAAUGAUCAAAUAUUUAUAGGAUAAAGAUGGGCAUGCGGAACAUUAGCUAGAUGGCGGGGUAACGGCCCACCAUGGCGACGAUGUUUAGGGGAUCUGAGAGGAUGGCCCCCCACACUGGUACUGAGACACGGACCAGACUCCUACGGGAGGCAGCAGUAAGGAAUAUUGGUCAAUGGGCGGAAGCCUGAACCAGCCAUGCCGCGUGCAGGAAGACGGCCCUACGGGUUGUAAACUGCUUUUAUACGGGAAUAAACCCAGAUACGUGUAUCUGGCUGAAUGUACUGUAAGAAUAAGGAUCGGCUAACUCCGUG
rnacentral:rRNA from 1 species